ACCUUCUGACGAGGCCCAGUGCGACGCGCACGACGAGCCGGCGCGUGAAGGGUCGUCUCCUGAGAAAGAGGGAGCAAAAAAUGGUGGUCCAAGGAAGCAAGCUAAUCCGAAAGAUAGCAAGUGAAGCGUUUGGCCGGGCGUUUGGGUGGUGCCCGAGAUACAGGCGAAUUUCUGGGUGAUCAAAAACUGGAAUGUGGUUUCUGGUGUUGGUGUUAGCCUUUCUUUUGGUUGGUGAUUUGAAUCAGUGCCUUUUGUUUGCGCCUAUCUGUUGUGAUCUGGUUGUAAAUAAGGAAGUCUUAUGUUUCUAGUUGCAGGUCGAACUUUAUCUUCUAUCCUAGGCCUUUUACUUAUCUAGGGUGAUAGUGUAAGGUGUCUAGAUAGAGAUCUGACCUAGUUGCUAUUCUGUCGGAUCGAUUGAUCGCGAUGGAUGUCGUUGUACUAAACUUUCCUAUUUCCUAAUAAAAUAGGGGGCUUCGUCCCUUCGU
rnacentral:lncRNA from 7 species